UACGUAGGGUGCAAGCGUUGUCCGGAAUUAUUGGGCGUAAAGAGCUCGUAGGCGGUCUGUCGCGUCGGCUGUGAAAACCCGGAGCUCAACUCCGGGCCUGCAGUCGAUACGGGCAAACUGGAGUGUUGCAGGGGAGACUGGAAUUCCUGGUGUAGCGGUGAAAUGCGCAGAUAUCAGGAGGAACACCGGUGGCGAAGGCGGGUCUCUGGGCCAUAACUGACGCUGAGGAGCGAAAGCGUGGGGAGCAAACAGG
rnacentral:rRNA from 1 species